AAUCUUCGGCAAUGGGGGCAACCCUGACCGAGCGACGCCGCGUGAGUGAAGACGGUCUUCGGAUUGUAAAGCUCUGUUGUACGGGAAGAACCGUACCAGUAGGGACUGACUGGUACCUGACGGUACCUCACCAGCAAGCCACGGCUAACUACGUGCGAGCAGCCGCGGUAAUACGUAGGUGGCAAGCGUUAUCCGGAAUUAUUGGGCGUAAAGGGAGCGCAGGCGGAUUAGUAAGUCUGGGGUUAAAGUUCGGGGCUCAACCCCGUGAUGCCUUAGAAACUGGUAGGCUAGAGUGCAGGAGAGGUGAGUGGAAUUCCAUGUGUAGCGGUAAAAUGCGUAGAUAUAUGGAGGAACACCAGUGGCGAAGGCGGCUCACUGGCCUGUAACUGACGCUGAGGCUCGAAAGCGUGGGGAGCAAAU
rnacentral:rRNA from 1 species